rnacentral:rRNA from 1 species
CUCGUAGGCGGUCUGUCACGUCGGAUGUGAAAAUCCAGGGCUUAACCCUGGACCUGCAUUCGAUACGGGCAGACUAGAGUUCGGUAGGGGAGACUGGAAUUCCUGGUGUAGCGGUGAAAUGCGCAGAUAUCAGGAGGAACACCGGUGGCGAAGGCGGGUCUCUGGGCCGAUACUGACGCUGAGGAGCGAAAGCGUGGGGAGCGAACA